rfam:Fomitopsis pinicola FP-58527 SS1 unplaced genomic scaffold FOMPIscaffold_79, whole genome shotgun sequence.
GGUGGGCUGGCGUAAUGGCAACGCGCCAGUUUCCGGAGCUGGAGAUUCUGGGUUCGAUCCCCAGGCUCAUCG